AUAUGGCCUCAUCGAAGCUGAAUAGGGUUACCAUACUCUAUAUCAGUCAAAACAUGGCCAAUAUCAAAUUUUUGGCAUUAUGGUCGCAUGGUGUUAAGUUUUAAACACUAUGCAUUACCCAUGUUAAGUACAUUU